rnacentral:rRNA from 1 species
UGCGCAGGCGGGCUUGUAAGUCAGUGGUGAAAUACUGCCGCUUAACGGUAGAACUGCCAUUGAUACUGCGAGUCUUGAAUAUGGUUGAGGUAGGCGGAAUGUGUUGUGUAGCGGUGAAAUGCAUAGAUAUGACACAGAACGCCGAUUGCGAAGGCAGCUGACUAAGCCAUUAUUGACGCUGAGGCACGAAAGCGUGGGGAGCGAACAGGAUUAGAUACCCUGGUAGUCC